AGGCAAUAUAAAUAAUUUCAUUUCAUAUUUUCACGCUUGGUACUACCAAGUUUGUCUCAUUACAUCUGUGAUAACAGAAUAUAUACAAAUAGCCUAACCUAGUUUGCAAAAAAAGACGCUGGAGCAUGAAUCUUAGAAAACCUAUUCGACUAUACAUGAUCAUCAAUCCUUUUCACUGAUCAACAAUUUGGUGGAUAAAUAAAUAUAAUUUUUCCAACUCAGCUACCAUCACAACAUAGACCAAAUUUCUGGGGCUUUAAAGAGCAAACCAACCACUAGACAAUGGGGAAGCCACAUGAUGGCUUUGUACACUUCUCGUGCGUUCCUUGAGCUCCCUCCACAUUUACCUGACCAUCCCUACCCUCCAAGUGGAAAAUGGUAAUCAAACAUGGGAGCGUCGGAACCCCUUUGGCCCUAUCUUUCCCCACCAUUUUCGAGUUCUUCUUUCAAUUUCUCCAUGCCCAAAUUUGUUAAGCCUUGCCUUUGUCUCUCUUAAUCUUACUUUGUAUUCUUUCUUCCAUGUCUCAAAUCUUAAUUUCAAUUUUCUAAAUUCUGAAUCAGAAGCAGGUUGAGCUGCUUUAACCUCGGCUAGUGCUUUGGCAUCAUCAUCAAAAUUUUGUCUCCGUUGCUCAAAUUCCUUUGCAAGAAUGCUGACCGCAUUUAUAGGGCCAUUAGUCUCUCUCCCUACUCCAUCAUGAAUGGUAAGAGGCAUUUUGCUGGGCGUGCUUCCACCAGGAGUUCGAAGUCCUGAGGAAACAUUAUCCUCAGAAUCAUAAUACCGAGGUGAUGCAAAAGAAUCAAGUCUUCCAUGUUGACCAGUAGUGUUAUCAGCAGCAAGACUUUUUCUGGCUGCAACCAGGCUUGUUUGCAAUGAUUCCAUCUGCAUUUGCCAUGUUUCUUCCAUUGCUUUCAUCUUUGCCUCAUAUUCUGACCACUGUCUCUCAAACUGUUGUAAUUGUUCCCGCAAUGCAGCAUUUUCCUCUUCCUUUUGCACUAGAGUUACUUCUGCUUUAGUAACCCUCCUUUGAAGUUCUGCCAAAAUCGAAGUCUGAAGCUCAACUUGCUCUUGUGGUAUGACCUUCACUUCUGAAAUCUUCCUUCCUAGCUUUCUUUUAGAAUUUGGAAUCAAUUUACACUUGUCAUUGAAUUGCUUCCGAGCCAACCACCCACGGAUUACAGAUUGUAAGCAUAUAAUUGCCACCAGCUUAUUAUCAAUAUCAACUGUGAGGGUAGCAUUAACUGUGCAACUCCUUGGCAUAGAUUUAUACUUACUUCUGGCAUUUUCACCACGGACAAAUGACUGUAAUAUUGUCGCUCCUUUUUUCACUUCAUUUAGAUCACGACGAGCUAGGAAGCCACGGAAACAUUUUUGGAGCCCAAGUAUGCCUUGCAGAACUUGCUUUCUCUGCUCCUCCAAUUUAGCAAUCUGGCCCGUUCGAAGAAACACUUUGGUAUAACCAACUUGAUACGUUUCAGGCGCUGCAUUGAAUUGUUGUAGAACAGCAACUGAUAUGCUUAAUGGAUCUUGAGAUACAUUUGUCCCCAAGAGUAGGAAGCCAUACCUUUGAGCAAAGUCUUGAUGAGUCAUUCGAGUUGGAUACCCAGAUCUUGAAAUCCUAACCACCUCCAAAACUCCACAACAUCGAAGUUGUUGUAAGACAAGAUCGUCUUCAUAGACUCCAGGAAGCUGCUUAGUAUUUGGUUUUAUGCAGCGAAUGAAGUGAGGUGUGGUCUUCUCCAGCUGGUGCAUCAGUUUGAAUAGUUGCCCCUUGAACUUAGUACCGACACUUUGUGUUGAGAAUUCCGUUCCACCAGAUUGGCUUAAUGGACUUGCAAAUUUCAAAGACUCCCAUCGAUUAUACAUUCUGGAGGCAAACAAUUGUGGCAGUUGGCAACUGCAGGAUGACAGUAGUUGGAAGAAAUCUGAGUGCAGCAGAUCUCGGUUCUUUUCCAGGAAGCCAUUUGUAUCAUAUACAACCUCUCCAGCAUAAUGAUGAAUGGCAAAAGCCCUCCCUCUUUCAGCUUUAAAGCAAGGAUUACUGCUCAAGUGCUGCUUAAGCUUAUUGGCAAACGUGAAAUCAGUGGCAUUGGGGAAAUUUGAUUCCUCAUCCAACAAAGACAGUAGUCCUAAAGGUUUCUUUUCAAAGAGGUUUAAGCAUUCUUGGUUGUCAGCAAAAUCAACUUUAGUCCAAUCAAUCCCAUCCUCUUCAUAAUCCUCCUGCUCAAGUUUAAAUAGAUGCCUGUUGAAAUGUUGCUGCAGCCUCUCAUUUGCAUAAUUAAUGCAAAAUUGUUCAAAGCUAUUAUUCAUAAAUGACUCAAACCCAUAAAUAUCAAGGAUAUUUAUGGAUCUUCCAGUACACAGUUUGCCCACUCCAAGUGACUUGUUGAUUUGAUCCACAAGCCAAUCAAACAAGCUUGCAAAGAUAAACUUUGCCAAUGCAUCUCUUCUGUCAAUUGCCUGCUGGAAUGUCAACUUUUUAACAAUAUCAUCCUUUCCACAUCGAAUUUUAUGGGUUGAUAAGGAAAGUGUCAAGUCCUGGAUACUACAACCCAUCAGCCUGGCAGCAUUUGUUAUAGCUUCAUCAGCCAACACCUCCACAUGAUUUUCAUUGCCAAUUACUUGAAAUGAUACAUUUCCAAGCCACAAUAUUGCAGCAAGCAUUGCAAAUGUCUGCUCCUGAUCAGCUUUGCAAAUUUGAACAAUGUCUAAGGCUUCCAUAAGCUUAUGAAGGUUCAGGGCAUCAUCAACACCAUCAAUUACCAAGCACUCACUCUGGUUAAGAUAGUUGUACUCACUAGCCAUUUUAAGGUUCAAUCUCUCUCUAAGAAUUGAUGGAGCACCAGCACAAAGUUGGUAAAAUAUAUGGUAAGAUCUUUCACCCUUGGCCAGCUGAACUACUCUAGACUUUUCUAGCAGAAAAGUUUGAAUUUUAGCACCGCAUAUCUUCCCUAAUGUGCUGAAAUGAAUUUCAAUUAGCUUCCCAAAUCUGCUGGAGUUGUCAUUCCUGGAUGUUUUUGCAUUUCCGAAUGCUUCAAGUAUGCAGUUGGUCUGAAGAAUCUCAUGCUCUAUGCCACCAAUGCCACCACCAAGAUUAGCCAAGUAUUGCAUUGCAUGCUUUGCUGUCUCGGUUUUCCCAGCUCCACUUUCACCACUUAUAAUUAUGGAUUGAUUUUUUUCAUCUCUCAUCAUCUCACUGUAAGCAGUGUCUGCUAUAGCAUAAACAUGAGGACUGUCCAGAAGCUUCUGCUUAUAAGCUGUGAUAAUUUCAUUUCCAUAAAAUGGAACAGCUUUGAAGGGAUUUACAGCAAUUAAAACUGGCCCUGCUUUGCUAUAAACCAUAUCCUGAGAAUAUCGGUACUUAAGAUUGUAAAAAACUGAUGGCUCAUUCAGAUAACUAAGCUUCAUAAGAUCAUCUACACCCUCAAGAAUAUCUGGGUUUGCAGGCAAGAGGUCUGCAGUAGACACCUUUACAAAAUUUCCACCUGAGAGUAAGACAACUGCUUCAUCCCCUGAAGUUGAUUGUAUAUUCCCUGAACCCCAUCGCCCAUUUGCAAGCUGACACCAGAUUCGUAGUUUCUUCUUGAUAAAAUAGCCAAUGUUGUCCUCCCACUCUGGCUCUUCAGCGUUUGGCAUUGAAAUAAUAACAGGUCCCUUUGCUGGCUCAUUCUUCUCCUCCGAAUAAGGAUUUGAGUCCACACAAUUCUGAUCUUUCCUCAUCUUCUUGCUUCCAAAACUUCCUGUCUUGUUCCCUAACUGCUUCUCCUUCCUAAUUGUAUCCUCCUUCCCUUUAUUAACUUCAAUUUCCACUUUGCUUUCCAUUUGGCCAUUGGCACCUACCAUGAAGUCAGUGGGCAGUGAGUGCCGCGCAGAGGGAAGUCGUGCCCUUGAGGUGGGCCGAGCUGGCAAAGCAGGCGGCAGUUCUUUGGUCUUCUCCAAGGCCUCAUCUCGCCGCCGGAGCGAGUCCAGCAUCUCCUCCAAUGAGCUCCUUGCCACCGCUGCCGGUGACGCAGACAACAUCAUUUUUAUUGCAAUUUAUUCCUCCAAUUACAAAACCCUGAAAUGAGACAAUUUUCAAAUAUGAAUUCGCAAACAAACUUAUUCCACAAACUCAGAAAUUUGCUACCCAAUAACAACACACUGUGAAAUAAUAAAAAUUAACAAAUGCAUAAACAGCUUCGAAUACCUAAUCUCGAUCAAAUUGUUAAAAACUUUACACUCGCAACUUUUCUCAACACCUCAAGACUGGUUUACAAAGAAGGAAACUUUACAACCAUGGGACAUACCCGCAAUCAAUUACUGAUAAAAAGUGGAAACUUGAUUUCAAAAACGCCAAUAUAUGAGGGAAAAUACAGAGAGAGCAAAAAAAAAUCCCUUAAUUAAUUCAAAGCGAGACAAGUUAACAAAAACCAAAUUUUGCCACAGUUGCCAAAAGGUUGAAAAAAUUACAAUUCUCUCCCACACACACACACAAUGCCAUGCAAACGCAGCUUAGAAAGAAACCCUUCUGUUCCAAACUUCGACAAAAUUUGGAGGGGGUGGGGGGAGGAGAGGGGAGAGGAGGAAGAAGAAGGUGCACAAAUUGCAAGAAAAAAACUCAGUGUGCCUCUAAAAACUCAAAAUUGGGGCUUAAGAAGAUAAACGAGACAAAAACACAGCCAAAAACCCUAAAUUGCAAUCAAAAUAUCCUUGCCAACUACACUUACAAUUUCAUAACCCCAAAAAAAUGGUGUCUCAAUGGACGCGACGCCACGCUACGCUGCCUCUCCAAACCAGUCCCCGAAAAAACGAAUUACGAUAAGAAUUACAGAACUCUAUGGUUAAAAAUUGCAGGACAGGUAGAGAAGAAAAAAGGAAAUGUUGUGGUUGUUUCUGUUUCCGCCGUUGCACGAACCAAAAAAAAAAAAACUCAGUGACAAGCUUGGUUAAAAGAGAGUGCAAAGGUUGUUAAGACGAACAACGAAACUUACACAGAUAGAUAGUAAAAAAACCAAGCUAGUUUUGGUGGUUUAGGGGUCGAGGGAGAAGAAAAAAGAAAAGGGGUUUCUGUUUUCCGUUUUGCUAAAACAGAAUUCAGCUUCUGCUUCUUCUGCUUUCGCUAUUGUUGUUGCUUUUGCAGAAAUUCAAAUUUUAAGGUUAGGUGGUGAGUUGGCGAAUUCGUUACUUGUGAAACGGUCUAGAUCUGAUUAGGGAAAAAAAUAAAAUAUAUA
rnacentral:misc_RNA from 1 species